rnacentral:tRNA from 1 species
AUUUAUAUAGUAUAUCAAGUAUAUUUGACUUCCAAUCAAAUGGUCUAACUAUU